rnacentral:rRNA from 1 species
UACAGAGGUCCCAAGCGUUGUUCGGAUUCAUUGGGCGUAAAGGGUGUGUAGGUGGCGCGCUAAGUCGGGUGUGAAAUUUCGGAGCUUAACUCCGAAACUGCAUUCGAUACUGGCGUGCUUGAGGACUGGAGAGGAGACUGGAAUUUACGGUGUAGCAGUGAAAUGCGUAGAUAUCGUAAGGAAGACCAGUGGCGAAGGCGGGUCUCGUGGACAGUUCCUGACACUGAGACACGAAGGCCAGGGGAGCAAACGGGG